rnacentral:rRNA from 1 species
AUUGAACGCUGGCGGCAGGCCUAACACAUGCAAGUCGAGCGGUAGCACAGAGAGCUUGCUCUCGGGUGACGAGCGGCGGACGGGUGAGUAAUGUCUGGGAAACUGCCUGAUGGAGGGGGAUAACUACUGGAAACGGUAGCUAAUACCGCAUAACGUCGCAAGACCAAAGUGGGGGACCUUCGGGCCUCAUGCCAUCAGAUGUGCCCAGAUGGGAUUAGCUAGUAGGUGGGGUAACGGCUCACCUAGGCGACGAUCCCUAGCUGGUCUGAGAGGAUGACCAGCCACACUGGAACUGAGACACGGUCCAGACUCCUACGGGAGGCAGCAGUGGGGAAUAUUGCACAAUGGGCGCAAGCCUGAUGCAGCCAUGCCGCGUGUGUGAAGAAGGCCUUCGGGUUGUAAAGCACUUUCAGCGGGGAAGAAGGCGGUGAGGUUAAUAACCUUGUCGAUUGACGUUACCCGCAGAAGAAGCACCGGCUAACUCCGUGCCAGCAGCCGCGGGUAAUACGGAAGGGGCCAGGCGUUAAUCCGAAUUACUGGGCGUAAAGCGCACGCAGGCGGUCUGUCAAGUCGGAUGUGAAAUCCCCGGGCUCAACCUGGGAACUGCAUUCGAAACUGGCAGGCUAGAGUCUUGUAGAGGGGGUAGAAUUCCAGGUGUAGCGGUGAAAUGCGUAGAGAUCUGGAGGAAUACCGGUGGCGAAGGCGGCCCCCUGGACAAAGACUGACGCUCAGGUGCGAAAGCGUGGGGAGCAAACAGGAUUAGAUACCCUGGUAGUCCACGCCGUAAACGAUGUCGAUUUGGAGGUUGUGCCCUUGAGGCGUGGCUUCCGGAGCUAACGCGUUAAAUCGACCGCCUGGGGAGUACGGCCGCAAGGUUAAAACUCAAAUGAAUUGACGGGGGCCCGCACAAGCGGUGGAGCAUGUGGUUUAAUUCGAUGCAACGCGAAGAACCUUACCUGGUCUUGACAUCCACAGAACUUUCCAGAGAUGGAUUGGUGCCUUCGGGAACUGUGAGACAGGUGCUGCAUGGCUGUCGUCAGCUCGUGUUGUGAAAUGUUGGGUUAAGUCCCGCAACGAGCGCAACCCUUAUCCUUUGUUGCCAGCGGUUAGGCCGGGAACUCAAAGGAGACUGCCAGUGAUAAACUGGAGGAAGGUGGGGAUGACGUCAAGUCAUCAUGGCCCUUACGACCAGGGCUACACACGUGCUACAAUGGCAUAUACAAAGAGAAGCGACCUCGCGAGAGCAAGCGGACCUCAUAAAGUAUGUCGUAGUCCGGAUUGGAGUCUGCAACUCGACUCCAUGAAGUUGGAAUCGCUAGUAAUCGUAGAUCAGAAUGCUACGGUGAAUACGUUCCCGGGCCU